rnacentral:rRNA from 1 species
UGCGUAGGCGGUUUGGUAAGUCAGAUGUGAAAUUCCUGGGCUCAACCGAGGAACUGCAUUUGAUACUGCCAGACUAGAGUACUGGAGAGGAGACUGGAAUUUACGGUGUAGCAGUGAAAUGCGUAGAUAUCGUAAGGAAGGCCAGUGGCGAAGGCGAGUCUCUGGACAGUAACUGACGCUGAGGCACGAAGGCCAGGGGAGCAAAC